CGAAGGAAAAGGAGGAAACGGAGAAGAAGGAGGAGAAGAAGGAAGAGAAGAAGGAGGAGAAGAAGGAGGAGGAGGAGGAGGAUGAGGUGGAUAAAAUCGAAGAUGAGAAAACACGUUGAUGAGAAAAAGAGUGAAGUAGUAGUAACAAGAAGAGAGCGGGUGGUUGGAAGGGGGAGGGAGGGAGAAAAGUAGUAAUGGAAGUAAACACGAAGUGCGGUCGUCGUCGUCGUCGUCGUCGUAGUCGUCGUCGUCGUCGUCGUCGUCGUCGUCGUCGUCGUCGUCGUCGUCGUUGUCGUCGUCGUCGUUGUCGUCGUCGUCGUCGAACUGCCGGAGGACUUUUCGUGGCUGCGCGAUGACCGAACGUUUGCCAGAUAAUUGCUGGUUGCCGAGCGUGUCGCCUCGGUUUUAAUAACCGUGUGGACAAGGAACCGAGAAAGAUAGAGGAGGCGGCUGAAUGCUUCGAGAGAGUCCUGCGAGAACGAGAGGUGGGGAUAGACCCAACUGGAUCCUACUCUUCUUCAAGGGACCUUAGUGCGCAAGCGUUCUCCCCACCAUUAACACAUAAAUCAACCCUGGCUUCCGAGGAUCGAGGAUCGAGGCUGCACGCCUUUUGUGGUCAUCCCUCGGGGGCUGCCUCAUGCCUUGUGCAUGCCACUGUGGAAAGCUUCUAUGGAUCUUACCUCCCUUCUUCUUCCUAAGGAGAAUCUUUCCUUUCUUUCUUCGAGACAGUGAGAAAGGGUAGAACACGACUUUACCGAUAUCAAUUACCAGCGACAACGACGACGACGACGACGACGACGAUGAUGAUGAUGAUAAUGAUGAUGAUGAUGAUAGAACAGCACGGUGAUUCCUUCCCUCUCGGUGAGUUUAAACAAAUGAGCAACCGAGAAAGGAUUCAUUAAUCAUUCGACGAGGAAGAAGAUGCGGGAUCGUUCCGGAUCGUUUAAAAGAACGAGCCGAAGUCGCGCCCGAUAUUCAUUCUUUAUAGAUCGUUUGCAAAGAAAGGAACGGUUGAUUGUUAGCAUAGUAAUCGAUAUAUGUAACUGGUCGGUAGUAUCCUCGGUUACACGUAAAUGAUUGAGAAAGAGAGAGAGAAAAGUGAGGAAAAAAAAUGGAGAUGAGAAUUUUCAAAGUCGAAGAACCGACCAUCUUUCGAUAAAUCGCGAAAAAUAUUACGUGAAGAAACUCGCGAGUCGCGCGAGUAUCGAAUGUAAAAGGCAAAGAAAGAAUGAUGGUAUAUGUACCUGCAUCAAAAAAAAAAAAAAAAAAAAAGAAAGAAAACGAAAGAAAGAAAGAAAGAAAGAAAGAAAAAAAAAAAGAAGCCGAUCCCAGAUCCAUAAAUUUGUGCUCUUGGGAAAGAAGAAUCGAGCCGAACGCUUUACUCCCCAUGCCGAUUCUAUUCGAAGAGAAUGACACCCCUGUCAUAGUGCGACCUGUUGCGUCUCUGUGGUGAAUGAUAAAGAGGAAAAGAAAGAAAGAGAGAGAGAGAGAGAGAGAUCGAGAAGAAAAAGCAAAAGUUAAAAAAGGGACACAACGAGAAUUUUCUUCGAGGAUGUAAAGAUAUUCGUCAAUCGUGAGAAAUAUCUCGCGUAAAAAGAUCAUAGUUUUAUUAUAAAUAAUAUUUUAUUAUGAAUAAAUCUGUCCUUUUAACGAUGUCUAUGCACUAGAUUUAAAUUAACAGAAAGAUUCUGUUUUUUAAAUAAUUAAUUAUUAAAAUUUGAAAAAUUUAUUAGAUCUGUUUCUCUUUAACAACACUCAAUAUAAUUUAUUACGAUAUAAUAAUUUAUUCAAAUAUAUUAUAUUACGGUUCAAUAGAGAUAUUAAUUCGUAUUUGUAAUUGUAUCAGCUAAUGGCAAAUGUUAUAAAUGUAUAGAUAUGACGUUAUAGUCAUACGGUUGCUGUAAUCCCAUUUUUCUUUCUUUCUUUUAUUUAUUUUCCAUAAAUAAGUUUUGAUCUAAUUAAAUAUCGGAAGAUUUGAAAUUAAUAUCAUUAGAAUAAAAAUUAAAUUUCAAAUAUUCCUGACAAAAAAAAAAAGAAAAAGAAAAAGAAAAAAAAAAGAAAAAGGAAGAAAGAAAGAAAGAAAGAAAGAAAAAAAAAACAUUUUAUAAAAAAUAUAAAUUGAUACAUAUUUUCUUUUAAAUCCAUAUAAUAUAUAAUAUUUCUAAUAUUGGCAUAUCUUAUUAAAAUUGUAAAUUGAUUUGCUUAGAUAUCGAUUAUCGAACUUGUCUAUACUCCUUGUCUUUUUCUGUAUACACUUAUUUAAUUCUCACUCUUACUCUUAUUUAGAAUUCGUGCAAAAUUUCGUUCGUUUUACAAAUUGGCUACUCGAUGACAACUCAUUAGUCUUUGAAGAUGAAAAAGGUUCACGAUGGAAAUUGGAACUAGACCAAGGCCGACUUUGUGUCGGAAUGGGAGAUACGGUAGUCUUUGACAUUGGACCGUUCACGUCUCUGCUGGAUACGUAUGGUACAAACGAGCCUGUUGAAAGAUAAAACCACACAAUACACCGCCAUUUGCGGUGUCCAAAGAAAUAUAUCUUCUAAGAAAAAUCAAUACUAUUGCAAAGAUCGACGAUAACUUUUUGGAACUUUCCAAGAAAUCGCAACGAUAUCCAGUCAAAAAAAAAAAAAAAAAACGUUUGCAAGAUCGUGACAUUGAACGUUAAUCAAUUAAUCAUUCGUUCUAGAAUAUUUGUAUAAAAAAAAAAAAAAAAAAAAAAAAAAAAAAAAAAAAAGUAUAUUUCCAAUUUAAAA